UACAGAGGGUGCAAGCGUUAAUCGGAAUUACUGGGCGUAAAGCGUGCGUAGACGGUUACGUAAGUCGGAUGUGAAAGCCCCGGGCUCAACCUGGGAACUGCGUCUGAGACUGGAAGGCUUGAAUUCGGGAGAGGGAUGCGGAAUUCCAGGUGUAGCGGUGAAAUGCGUAGAUAUCUGGAGGAACACCGGUGGCGAAGGCGGCAUCCGGGACCGGCAUUGACGCUGAGGCGCGAAAGCCAGGGGAGCAAACGGG
rnacentral:rRNA from 1 species